AGGAUGAACGCUGGCGGUCUGCUUAACACAUGCAAGUCGAACGGGCUCUUCGGAGCUAGUGGCGGACGGGUGAGUAACGCGUGAGGAUCUGCCCUUAGGACGGGGACAACAGCUGGAAACGGCUGCUAAUACCCGAUGUGCCGAGAGGUGAAACUAUUUGGCCUGAGGAUGAGCUCGCGUCUGAUUAGCUAGUUGGAGUGGUAACGCACACCAAGGCGACGAUCAGUAGCUGGUCUGAGAGGAUGAUCAGCCACACUGGGACUGAGACACGGCCCAGACUCCUACGGGAGGCAGCAGUGGGAAUUUCCGCAAUGGGCGAAAGCCUGACGGAGCAAGACCGCGUGCGGGAGGAAGGUCUAUUGAUUGUAAACCGCUUUUAGAUAGGAAGAAGAUCUGACGGUACCUAUCGAAUCAGCAAUCGGCUAACGUCCGUAGCCAGCAGCCGC
rnacentral:rRNA from 1 species